rnacentral:rRNA from 1 species
UACGUAGGGUGCAAGCGUUAUCCGGAAUUAUUGGGCGUAAAGAGCUCGUAGGCGGUUUGUCGCGUCUGCUGUGAAAACCGGAGGCUCAACCUCCGGCCUGCAGUGGGUACGGGCAAACUAGAGUGCGGUAGGGGAGAUUGGAAUUCCUGGUGUAGCGGUGGAGUGCGCAGAUAUCAGGAGGAACACCGAUGGCGAAGGCAGAUCUCUGGGCCGUAACUGACGCUGAGGAGCGAAAGCGUGGGGAGCGAACAGG